UAAAUAUCAACUCUUUCAGAAGCUAGUGCUUCAAGAUGGAAACAAGUUUACUAAACAUUAAAUUGAGAAGCUUCUUUAUUAGUGGAUUCAUGUCAGCAAUGCUACCCUGUAAGGUCCACGAUGAAUGCCCAGCAGCUAUCCUUUCCUGACGAGUCUCAGAUAAGUUCUUACAUUUCUUUUCAUUAAGCUAUUCUAUUAUCAUUAAUUUUCACUACUUAGUGAGAAAAGUCAAAUGUCAAUUUUGGAACCUUUGAUGUAUGCUUAUUCUGUAGAAAGACACAAAAAUAGUUCAACAGAGAAAAUGAGCACAGGCAAUAACAGACAUAUUUUUCUAUACUUUUGUAAACUUAUUUUAUAGAAAACAAGUGUUUUAUUGUUUUUAAUUGCAGGAGUAUAACAGUAAUUCAUGUUCAUGUAUUAAUAUUUUAGAGCAAGUAUGAUAAGGAA
rnacentral:lncRNA from 1 species